rnacentral:lncRNA from 1 species
GCGUGGCGCCCGCGCCCGCCGUGCGGCGCCGCUGGAGCCCGCCGGGCUGGGGUCCCCGGGCAGCGGCGCGCGGCGCCGGGCCGGGAAGGCAACGGGGGCCGAGCGCCUGGGCGCCGCCGAGGCGGACCCGCUCCCGGGACCCGCUGGAGCCGGCGAAGGAACUAACUGAACUGGGGCCACUUGCAUUUCACCCCAGGAAGCAGCGACACACCUGGGCGGUGACAGGACGCGUCCAUGUGAGUGGAGGUGGUAUCUGGCUGUAUCUAAUCUCUGCCGACCUUGUCCAGCAGGAUGGGGAAGGAUGUGGGAUUUGGACUGAAGAUAUUCCCUACUUUAUGUGA